UUUCUUCGGAAAUGGAUUAGCGGCGAACGGGUGAGGAACAAGUGAAGAAUCUGCCCUCCACUUUGGGAUAACACAGGGAAACCUGUGCUAAUACCGAAUAUUGAAACAUAAGUGGCAUCACUGAGUUUUGAAAGAAUUUCGGUGGAGGAUGACUUCGCGGCCUAUCAGCUAGUUGGUGAGGUAAUGGCUCACCAAGGCAACGACGGGUAGCCGGCCUGAGAGGGCGACCGGCCACACUGGGACUGAGACACGGCCCAGACUCCUACGGGAGGCAGCAGUGGGGAAUAUUGGGCAAUGGAGGAAACUCUGACCCAGCGACGCCGCGUGCGGGAUGAAGGCCUUCGGGUUGUAAACCGCUUUCAGUAGGGAAGAAGCGAAAGUGACGGUACCUACAAAAGAAGCACCGGCUAACUAUGUGCCAGCAGCCGCGGUAAUACAUAGGGUGCAAGCGUUGUCCGGAAUUAUUGGGCGUAAAGAGCUCGUAGGUUGUUUGUUACGUCGGAUGUGAAAACCUGAGGCUUAACCUCAGGCCUGCAUUCGAUACGGGCAAA
rnacentral:rRNA from 1 species